rnacentral:rRNA from 1 species
GAUGAACGCUGACAGAAUGCUUAACACAUGCAAGUCGAUUCGAUUUACCUUCGGGUAUUGAGGAUGGCGGACGGGUGAGUAACGCGUAAGGAACUUGCCUCUUGGUCUGGGACAACUGUUGGAAACGACAGCUAAUACCGGAUAUUAUGAGAUUCUCGCAUGGGAAAUUUAUGAAAGCUAUAUGCGCCAAGAGAGAGCCUUGCGUUCCAUUAGCUAGUUGGUGGGGUAACGGCCCACCAAGGCGACGAUGGAUAGCCGGCCUGAGAGGGUGAACGGCCACAAGGGGACUGAGACACGGCCCUUACUCCUACGGGAGGCAGCAGUGGGGAAUAUUGGACAAUGGGCCACAAGCCUGAUCCAGCAAUUCUGUGUGCACGAUGAAGGUCUUCGGAUUGUAAAGUGCUUUCAGUUGGGAAGAAGAAAGUGACGGUACCAACAGAAGAAGCGACGGCUAAAUACGUGCCAGCAGCCGCGGUAAUACGUAUGUCGCAAGCGUUAUCCGGAUUUAUUGGGCGUAAAGCGCGUCUAGGCGGANAAAUAAGUCUGAUGUUAAAAUGCGGGGCUCAACUCCGUAUUGCGUUGGAAACUGUUUUUCUAGAGUACUGGAGAGGUGGGCGGAACUACAAGUGUAGAGGUGAAAUUCGUAGANAUUUGUAGGAAUGCCGAUGGAGAAGUCAGCUCACUGGNCAGAUACUGACGCUNAAGCNCGAAAGCGUGGGGNGCAAACAGGAUUAGAUACCCUGGUAGUCCACGCCGUAAACGAUGAUCACUAG